rnacentral:rRNA from 1 species
AUUGAACGCUGGCGGCAGGCCUAACACAUGCAAGUCGAGCGGCAGCGGGAAAGUAGCUUGCUACUUUUGCUGGCGAGCGGCGGACGGGUGAGUAAUGCCUGGGAAAUUGCCCAGUCGAGGGGGAUAACAGUUGGAAACGACUGCUAAUACCGCAUACGCCCUACGGGGGAAAGCAGGGGACCUUCGGGCCUUGCGCGAUUGGAUAUGCCCAGGUGGGAUUAGCCAGUUGGUGAGGUAAUGGCUCACCAAGGCGACGAUCCCUAGCUGGUCUGAGAGGAUGAUCAGCCACACUGGAACUGAGACACGGUACAGACUCCUACGGGAGGCAGCAGUGGGGAAUAUUGCACAAUGGGGGAAACCCUGAUGCAGCCAUGCCGCGUGUGUGAAGAAGGCCUUCGGGUUGUAAAGCACUUGCAGCGAGGAGGAAAGGUUGAUGCCUAAUACGUAUCAACUGUGACGUUACUCGCAGAAGAAGCACCGGCUAACUCCGUGCCAGCCGCCGCCGUAAAAC